AAUAUAUGUAUAUAUAUUAAAUAAAAAAAAUAUUCCACAAUAUAGGUGAUAUGUAUCAUAUACAUCUUGAGAAAUCAAGGCAAGUAUAAAAAGAAACUAUUAUGGAUGGUUCGCUAUAUAUUUCAAGAUUAAUCUAGCAAGUAGGACUAGAAAUCAAAGAGAAAUCUUAUAAUUAGACAAAGUGAAUUGAAAUAUCUUAGUAACUUUAGGAAAAGAAAUCAAACGAGAUUGUUAUUUGGUGUCUUCUAAAUAACAAAAGCCUAUUAAAAAUUAAAAUGGAAAAAUCUGUUUGNUAAGGAUAUGUUCAGUGUUCGAGUCACUGAAGAAUCAAAAAAAAGAGAGUUGGCUGAGUGGUUUAAGGCGGCUAGCUUGAGUCUAGCUAAGGAUAAAAACUUUCAUAUGUUCGAAUCAUAUACUCUCUGAUACCUAUAAAAGGGGAAAAUUAAAAUAAAAAUUAUAAUUAUGUAAAAAUUACAGGUUAGUGUCCGGUGGUUGGUCGCUUCAUUUGGGUUGGAGAUUGUUUAUGUUCGAAUCAUAAUAACCUGAAAUAUAUGUAUAUAUAUUAAAUAAAAAAAAUAUUCCACAAUAUAGGUGAUAUGUAUCAUAUACAUCUUGAGAAAUCAAGGCAAGUAUAAAAAGAAACUAUUAUGGAUGGUUCGCUAUAUAUUUCAAGAUUAAUCUAGCAAGUAGGACUAGAAAUCAAAGAGAAAUCUUAUAAUUAGACAAAGUGAAUUGAAAUAUCUUAGUAACUUUAGGAAAAGAAAUCAAACGAGAUUGUUAUUUGGUGUCUUCUAAAUAACAAAAGCCUAUUAAAAAAUUAAAAUGGAAAAAAUCUGUUUGAAUAUAGGGGAACCUUCCUCUAAGGCUAAAGAAAAUAUAUAAGCGAUAGUGUAGUAGUACCGUGAGGGAAAAUACUGAAAUAGUAGUUUUAUAAGCAGCUCGAGUGAAAUUUUUAAAUAGAUAAUAAGAGCGUACCUUUUGCAUAAUGGGUCAGCAAGUUAAUUUUAGAUGCAAGCAUGUAAUAUAAUAUUAUUAUAUAUUUGCUUAGAUAAACCAAUUAUGAAAAAAUGAAUAAGUAUCUAGGAUUAGACCCGAAGGCUAGUGAUCUUACCAUGAUCAGGGUUGUAAAAGCCCGAACGGGUUAUCGUUGUAAAGAUAUCCGAGGAAUUGUGGUAAGUUAGUGAAAGACAAAACUGACUAGUAUAGCUGGUUUUCCGCGAAACCUAUGUAAGUAGGUAAUUUAAUUAACAUCUUAGCAGGUACAGAACUGUGAUCUCGGACAAUACCAUAGGUAUUUGUCAACAUCGGGGGGUUGUAGCGACUUUACCGGAGAGUAUUUGCACUCGGAAGGGCAAAGAUGAAUGUUAAAUAAUCGGACAUAGUGCGAUAAGGUUGUAUGUCUAAAGGGAAACAGCCCAGAACAAGAGUUAAGGUUCCAAAAUUAUUGUUAAGUGAAAUUAAGGAUGUUUUCUUUUAAAACAAUCAGGAAAUAGGCUUAGAAGCUGCCAUUUUUUGAAGACCUCGUAACAGAGCACUGAUUAAAUAAUUAGGAGAAAACGCCGAAAAUUUAACGGAUCUAAAAUAAUAUACCGAAACCUUGUACACAUAAUAUGUGGGGUAGCGGAACAUUGGAUAAAAAAGUAAAUUUAUAUUUCUAAGAAAUAUUUAAUUAAGGGGUAGAGGUAUAAUAUAAAAAUAUUAGUGUUAGUAUUAGUAUUAAUAUUUUUAUUUUUAUAUUAUAAAAAGAAUUAGUAAGUACUAAAGUCUUUUGUAAUUUUUCGAGGUUAAGAAAAAUAGUUCCUUUUUAUCUUAAGUUUUAGUAGUAUGUUAACCUGUAGGUAUUAUUAUACUUCAUUGGACUAAAACACAAAAUAAUUUCCAAGAGAGAAUGCUGACAUGAGUAACGAAAAAGGCUUUUAGCCUCGCCUUAAGCUUAUGGCUUCUAUAUCAAACCGGUGUCUAAGAAUAUUAAUCAAAGGAUAAUUUUGAUGAUAUAUAAUAUACUCUUGUAAAUAGAGUAAAAAGUAAAACCUUUAUUAAGUAAUAAAGGUUCAGGAAAACUUUUUACAAAGUUUAUAUAUUUUAAAUAUAUAAUCAGAAACAUAUUACACCGUACCUAGAAACUAACCCAAGUAAGCAAGUAGAGUAUACACAGGCGUUUGAGUGAACAAUCAUUAAGGAACUCGGCAAAUUGACUCUGUACCUUCGGAAUAAGGAGGGCCAUUAUUAUUAUAUAUGAUGAAAUAUCAUAUUAAUAAUAAGAGGAAUCAUAAAAUAAUGUUGUACGACUGUUUAAUAAAAACACAGCACUCUGCAAAGAUAAAAAAUCAAAGUAUUGAGUGUGAUGUCUGCCCAAUGUCGGCUGGGUAACGGAUUUACCUUGGUUAUUAACUGAGGUUUUGAAGGACACCCCGAUUAAUGGCGGCCUUACCUAUGAGGGUCCUAAGGUAGCGAAAUACCUUGGCCGUUAAAUGCGGUCCUGCAUGAAUGACUUAACGAUACAACAGCUGUCUCGAUGAUUGUCUCAGUGAAAUUGGAAUAGCAGUGCAGAUACUGUUUACCUCUAGAUAGACGAGAAGACCCUAUGCAGCUUUACUGUUACUAAUUACAAGAGUACAAAUUUAGGAUGAUUUAUAGUGUAUAAGGUAGUUGUAUGAUAACAAUGAAACACCUUUAUUCGUAUCCUAUUAUAUCUCUUGAUGAUUGGGAGGCAGUUUAUGCGGGGCACAGAUCCCACAAAAAGUACCUGGGUAUAUCCAAAGUUCAUAUUGUAAAUUUGUAUAUUUAUAUACAAAUAUUUUAAUUUGUUAUAUUUAUUUUUAUAUUUAUACAGUUACUAUUCGAUUAAAUUCUAUAUUUAUUUUUAUUUUAAGUAAGAUUUUAACUAUAUGGUGAAUAGAUGUAUUUUAAACUUUAAUAUUUAAAAGUUUUUUGUUAUAUUAAUAUUGUAUUUGUCAAUAUUAAUAUGAUAUUUAUAUAUACUUUAAAAGUUUAAUGGCUUAAUCUUGCUUUACUGUUUGACCUACGAGUCUAUCAGUCGCGUAAGCGGGGCAUAUGAUCACAAGAUGCAUUAAGGAAAGGUCUUGGAUUAUAGAAAAAGUUACGCUAGGGAUUUAUAACUGUGAGUCCUCCAAUAUUAUAAAAUAUUGGUAAUAUAUUGGGUAAAUUUCAAAGACAACUUAUAUUAUUUAUGUGUAUUUGAAGCGAAACUUAUUUUAAGCAGAUAUUUAUCUUAAAGAUAAAUUUAAAUAAGGACGUUCAACGACUAAAAGGUGAGUAUAGCUAACAAUAAUCCUUUUUUAAUGCCCAACAUCUUUAUUAACUAAAUUUAAAGAUUUAAUUCUUUAUUAUUUAUCAGUAUAAUAAUUAUUAU
rnacentral:tRNA from 1 species